AGCUAAUAGAUACCCCGGUAGUCCUGGCCCUCAACGUUGCUCGCUCGUUUUACGGAGUAUCGACCCUCUGUGAGACUAAAGCUAAACGCGGUAAGCGAGCCGCCUGGGUAGUACGAUCGCAAGAUUAAAACUCAAAGGAAUAGACGGGGGACUCGCACAAGCAGUGGAUUAUGCGGCUUAAUUCGUCGGUAAACGAAGAACCUUACCAAGGUUAGAAACCCAACUGCAUCCGACCUGAAAGGGACGGAGCCUUCGAGGGUGUUGGGCAGGUGAUGCAUGGUCGUCGUCAGUUCGUGGUUUGAAACUGUUCCCUUCAGUGGGGUAACGAACGCAACCCCCGUUGUCUGUUGCCUAUAUGGCCAGGCGAGACUGCUCCCUCACGGGAGAGGAAGGUGGGGAUGACGCCAGAUCAGCAUGUCCCUCUGAUACCUUGGGCUGCACGCAUAAUACAAUGGGCGGUACAACGGGUUGCAAUAUCGUAAGAUGGAGCCAAUCCUUAGAAAACCGUCCUCAGUACGGAUUGAGGUCCGCAACCGACCUCAUGAAGCCGGAAUU
rnacentral:rRNA from 1 species